CUGGUACUCCCUCCGUCCGAAAAUACUUGUUGCAUAAAUGGAUGAAAAUGGAUGUAUCUAGAAUUAAAAUACAUCUAGAUACAUUCAUUUCAAGGACAAGUAUUUGCGGACGGAGGGAGUAGAAG
rfam:Triticum aestivum genome assembly, contig: Triticum_aestivum_CS42_TGACv1_scaffold_592265_7BS